rnacentral:rRNA from 1 species
UUAAAUUGAAGAGUUUGAUCAUGGCUCAGAUUGAACGCUGGCGGCAGGCCUAACACAUGCAAGUCGAACGGUAACAGAAAGCAGCUUGCUGCUUUGCUGACGAGUGGCGGACGGGUGAGUAAUGUCUGGGAAACUGCCUGAUGGAGGGGGAUAACUACUGGAAACGGUAGCUAAUACCGCAUAAUGUCGCAAGACCAAAGAGGGGGACCUUCGGGCCUCUUGCCAUCGGAUGUGCCCAGAUGGGAUUAGCUUGUUGGUGGGGUAACGGCU